AACUCCAAUUUUAACUCCAUUACGAUUUCCAUGGCCAAACGGGGCCUAAAAUGGUGGUCAAAUAAUGCAAACAUAGGUGAUCAAGUGAAACGAGCAACACCGUAGUUUCCACAUUUCAUUUUCUGGCUGGGUUGGCGGCCUGCUUCAAUUUCCCUUUCUUCCCCAGGAGCAGCAGCUAUGGAGCUCUCUUUAUCCAACUCUUCUUCUUUUCGUUUUCGUCGAUAUGAUUUCGUUCCACGUCUCCAUAGUUUCUCAGGACUUGGAUCAUUUCAUACGUUUUCCAGCAAUAAAUCAAUUUCUGUACGGAGACCGUUGAUUUGGCGCCAACCUCGUUUACUUAGAAUCAAAGCUCAAACUGCUAUAGAUGGCAAUUCGAGUGACGAUUUUAUUAUAGAGGAUGUUCCUCAUUUGACCUAUUUUCUUCCUGAUUUACCUUCAUAUACUAAUCCAUUGAAAAGGAGCCAAGCUUAUGCUAUUGUCAAGAAAACUUUUGUUAAUCCAGAAGAUAUGGUGGCAAAGGAAAUCAUUGUUCAGAAGGACAGCCCCAGGGGAAUACAUUUUCGGCGUGCAGGACCCCGAGAAAAGGUUUUCUUCACUCCGGAAGAAGUCCGUGCUUGUAUUGUCACAUGUGGUGGUUUAUGCCCAGGAAUCAAUACAGUGAUUCGUGAAAUUGUAUGUGGCUUAAAGAAUAUGUAUGGAGUUGAUGAUGUACUUGGAAUUCAGGGAGGUUACAGUGGGUUUUACUCAAAAAAUACCCUGAACUUGACAACAAAAGUUGUUAAUGAUAUUCAUAAACGUGGUGGAACCUUUCUUCAAACGUCUAGAGGUGGUCAUGAUACGAAAAAGAUAGUUGACAACAUUCAAGACCGUGGAAUAAAUCAGGUAUACAUAAUUGGAGGGGAUGGAACUCAAAAGGGGGCUGCUGCAAUCUACAAGUUGAAAAACGUGGUAUUAAAGUGGCUGUUGCUGGGAUUCCCAAGACAAUUGAUAAUGAUAUCGCGUCAUUAUGAUUUAUGCGAUAUAUCGAGGAAACAAGGGAAAGAGCAAAGAAACAAAAGUUCUGUUCAACUACUUAUACCAUACGUGAUAGACAAAUCUUUUGGCUUUGAUACUGCUGUGGAGGAAGCUCAGAGGGCCAUUAAUGCUGCCCAUGUCGAGGCAGAAAGCGUGGAGAAUGGAGUUGGUAUAGUAAAGCUUAUGGGAAGAUACAGCGGAUUCAUUGCAAUGCUUGCAACUUUGGGUAACCGUGAUGUGGACUGUUGCUUGAUCCCAGAGUCCCCAUUUUACUUGGAAGGUCCAGGCGGGCUCUAUGAAUAUGUGGAGCAGCAGCUCAAAGAAAAUAGGCAUGUGCUAAUUGUAUUAGCAGAAGGUGCUGGGCAGGAAUAUGUUGCUCAAAGUAUGCAAGCAUUUCAAGAGAAAGAUGCAUCAGGAAAUAGGCUACUCCUCGACGUUGGUCUUUGGUUAACACAACAUAUUAAGGAUCAUUUCACAAAUGUCCGUAAGAUGACAAUAAAUAUGAAAUACAUAGGGAUGCUUGAUAGAGUUCAACCAGGUGUUUUGGUGUACAACAGACCCUACUUACAUGAUUCGAGCAAUUCCAAGCAAUGCAUCAGAUAACAUCUACUGUACACUUCUUGCACAAAGUGCUGUCCAUGGAGCAAUGGCUGGAUUCACAGGCUUCACAGUUGGACCUGUAAACAGCAGACAUGCGUAUAUUCCAAUUAAUCGUGUCACUGAGACUACAAACACCGUGAACAUAACAGGCAGGAUGUGGGCACGACUUCUUGCCUCUACUAAUCAACCAAGUUUCGUUCAUCAUUGUCAGACCGUGAGGGAAAAAGUUGAUAAACAGACUAUUGAUGCAAUUAACAAUAUGCAGAUUAAUUCUAUAUAGAUUUUAUCAUCCUGUAGUUUCUCUCCACAAACAUUCUUAUCAACUAGAUAUUUAUUUCAAGUCUAAUUUGUUGGGAGCUGUAGUUGCCCAGUUCUGAAGAGGAAAGUAGUUGAAUAUUUUUUAUCCAUAUCAAAAUAUUUAGUGUACAGUUGUCGCCACACAUCCAAUACCUUUGUUUUUUUUUUUCGUUUUUUUUUCUUUUCUAGGUAGGAAAAGAGAGAUUAUUCAAUGUGGAAGAUUAUAGUCUGCUUUUUGUUGCCACUUACGACCUUAAUACUAGCUGUACUGGAUAUGAAGUGCUUUUCAGUCAUUUAGUUUAAAAACUAUUUGUUCUUUUAUUUUUUUAUAUUUGAAUUCA